AGGAUGUAAUGCCAACUCACGAUAAGAAGAAAUACUAUGGUCCAGAGCCUUCUUAACAUCUCGUGCACUUCAAAGACUCUGCAAUUGGCAGUGAUUCUAAUGUUUCCCUAAGCUUGGUCAAGGUGGUUACAGAGAGACAAACGUCCACAAAUUCUCACAGAUGGAAGUUUUCCACUGGCCUAUUUUGGUAUAAAUAUUCAUCAAGGGCUAGAAAAUUAAACUAGAUAUGGGUCUGAGCUAGAAGCAGUUUGGCCUCAAUUUCAACUUUCAGUCACCCCCUCAGGAGGGCAGGAUCUUCUGAGAUGUGACUGCUGUUGUUUGGAGACCAGGGCCAACUGUCUCCCCAGCCUAUGGAAACCCCUGGUUUGUUCUCAGGGGAACUUUGGCUGGAGAAUGGCGGCUGCUGGAUUCACAGGAAGGUCCGGGUUGGUUCCUUGGAAACCAGAACUAUAUCAAGGUGUGGCUCAUCUGUAUCCUGCAGCGAUUGCUUUGGAAGAUAAGCUUGAGGGAAGAUAAUCUGAGUCUGGUUUAGAGUGCCUCUCACUUUAUCUUUCUUUAGGUCUUAAGACGUCUCUUGGGUACCAUCGAGGGCAGACAUCAAGGUGUCUGUCUCCCUCUACUCCUGCAUCUCACUCCUUUACUGGCUCUGGUUUUGGCUCAUCAAUGUAAAGGCCUAUGAGUCAACAGCACAGCCACAUGGGGCCCCAUGGAUGGAAGAGAAGGGAGUGGCCUUUUUUCUCUCUUCCACAUCUGUAUCAACCAUCCACCCCCAUGUUCUAUUUUCCUUCUUCUCCUCCUCUCAGGAAUAACUGUGUCUGUCUAGAGAUGGAGCAAAGCUGCCCUUCCCUUACCCCAUUCGUCCGCAGCUUUCUCUUACUUCCUGCUUGCUCCACCCACCACACUGCCACGCCCUUCCUGUGCGCUUCCAUAACAGGGAGCGCGCCGAGCGGAAUGAGGCCAGGCAGAGGAUUUCCGUGCAAACAGGAUAUUGUGGUGCAGGAAAUAAAGCAUGCAAGACAACAAUGGCAGAUGUCCCUGGACCACUCUGAAGGUAACACAUGAGCUCAGUAGGAAAGCAGAUGGGUGCUAGGAGUUCAGAAGACAAAGGGCCUGUUCUGAAUUGCAGGCCUCAUGGAAGAUGGGUGAAUGGAGAAGAAGGCCCUCUCUGCAAGUAGGGGUGUGCGCAAGAGAGUUCCGUUUGGAGAACCAGUGGCAGAUCAUUCAGAGGAGGCUGGAUACUGCCAGGUACAUGACUGAAGAGGGACCAUCAGAGAAAUGGUAAUUCUGGACUAAUAAUAGAAGGGAGCUUUCAAAGCUCCAGCAGCAGCUCCUUGAGACAGACUUCUUCUUUAACGUAGCAUCCACCAGGCUGUUACAAGAACGUAGCCUUCAGCCCCACUGUCCCCUGAUCAUCUGUUCACAGACCCAUCUUCCUUAUUCUUAAAUACUGUCUCUUCAAACCUUUAGCAGAACUUCCAAGUAAAAUUUAUACAGCGCUUCCCCACGUUGUUGCCUGGGUGCAUGGUAUACGUGCCCGUGUGUGCCCAUGUGUUUGCCACGGUGUCCAUGUGGAUGUCAGGGGGGCAGCCUUGUGCAUUGAUCUUCACCUUUCACUUUGUUUGAGACAGAGCCUCCUGCUGUUCACUGCUGCAUUUGCUAGACUAGCAACACCCACCUUCCAAAAGGAUCACAGUGAUUGCAGAUGUGCCUGGCUUUCGAGUUUAAAAAUAUUCAAAAAUCUCAAGUAUUCACUUGAUUACUUUAUAUGUGUAUUCCUUAGGACCACUAUCAGAUAAAAUACAGAAACCCUGCAUUCCAUGAAGUUCCCAUGUGCUCCUUUCUUGGCAAUAACCACGUUUUAGAAAGAUAGCUACUAGUCUGUCUUCUAUCUUUGUAGACUUCUUUCCACUCUGUUCAGAACAUUAUACAGGAGAAAUUCUAUGGUAUUUUAUAAUUUUGCUUCUUCAUUUCUCUAUUCAAAAUGUUUAAGAUGACCCAGGUUUUGCAUACAUUAAAUUAAAAAAAAACUGCUUAGCUUCUGUUAUCUAAGUAUCCAUUCUCAUGUUGAUGAGGAUUUGAGUUGCCUACAAUCAAGGGCUGUUGUAGAUAAAAAUCAUUCCAUACACGUUUGUCUCAGUGUUUAUGGUGGAUACCCAUGGUCCUUUCUCUUGGACACAUACAUAAGAGUAAAACCUUUAUAGAGUAGAUAGAUAUUAAACCCCACCAGAAGUUACCAGUAGCUUCUAGUUGUAUCAUUUUAUAGUCGUCCCAGCUAUAUCACGUGACUUCUAGUUGCUCCACUUCUUUCCCAGACUUGGUAAUGUCUGCCUUAAUUUCAGCAUUCCACCGAGUAUUCAACACAAUCACAUUAUGCUUUUACUUUGUAUUUCUUUUAGAAAUAAUGAUAUCAACCCCAUCUGCACAUACAAGCUAUUUAGGCCUCUACUUUUGUGAAGUACCUGGUCCAGCCUUUGUUUUUAGGGACUGGAGAUAUGGCUUAGUGAUUUAGAGUACUUGUUGCUAUUGCAGAGGACCCAGGCUCAGUUCUCAGCACCUACAUGGUAACUCCCCAACUAUUUGGAACCCCAGAACCAGGAACUAUGAUGCCCUCUUCUGGUCUUUGCAAGCAUCUGCAUGUGUAUGGCACAACACUGAUGCGCAGCUACCCAUAAACAUGCUUAAGUAAAACUCUUUUUUAAAGUUGGCCACUAGGAAUCAGUUUGUGGAAGAAAUCUAUAUAUUCUGGAUACAACGUUUUGUCAAAAGCAUCUAUGUGUAGAACACUUGGAAAGCUUUCUCUUUGUAGACUAUCUCUCACCUCUUGGUGGUGUCUUUUAGUGAGAGCAAGGUAAUCUUGACAGACAGCUCUCUCAUUUAUUUAUACAUACUCCCUCCAGAUGAGAAGUCACAGAGGCACUAUCUGGAUCACGAUGUCACUGUUCUAAGCAUUUCAGAUGGCAAUAAACCAUGACCACUCUGCAAUUAAGAAAUAUGUUGACCAGGGACUUGGGAAAUGGCUUAGUUGGGAUGAUGUUUACUGUGAAAGCAUGAAGAUUUGAUUCCUAGUACGCACAUAAAAAAGCUGGGCUUGGCGGUAUGUGCUUCUCAGCACUGGGGAAGUGGAGAGAGUGCUCACGGCCCUAUGUGUGCAUACACAUGUACACACACACACACACACACACACACACACACACACACACACACACACAUACACACACACACACACACACACACACACACACAC
rnacentral:lncRNA from 1 species